GUACGGCGAGUGAAGCGGGAUGAGCUCAAAUUUAAAAUCUGGCCGGUUUACUGGUCCGAAUUGUAGUUUAAAGAAGCGUUUUCGGUGGCAGCCUGGGUAUAAAUCCUUUGGAAUAGGGUAUCAUAGAGGGUGAGAAUCCCGUCUUUGACUCAGUGCAUGCUACUAUGUGAUACGUUUUCAAAGAGUCGAGUUGUUUGGGAAUGCAGCUCAAAAUGGGUGGUAAAUCUCAUCUAAGGCUAAAUAUUGGCGAGAGACCGAUAGCGAACAAGUACCGUGAGGGAAAGAUGAAAAGAACUUUGAAAAGAGAGUUAAACAGUGCGUGAAAUUGUUGAAAGGGAAACGUUUGACACCAGUCAUGCGGGCGGAAAAUCAGUCUUUUGUAGUGGGGAAGCGCGUGGGUUCAGACCGCAAGGCUGGCCUAUGUGUUCUCUCUGCUGCGAGUGAUGCACUUUUUCGUCUGCAGGCCAACAUCAGUUUCCUCUGCUGGACAAAACUCUAAGAGAAGGUAGCAGCUUAGGCUGUGUUAUAGCUCUGGAGCGAUACAGUGGAGGAGACUGAGGUUUUCGCAGCGUGUGCUCUCGGGCAAGGCGGAUUGGGUGCUACGGGAUCGUUCGGCGUACAAUGCAUGCAUUUUGCGCCGUGUCCUUUUCGUACUCGCUCAACUCUGCUCUUCCACGCUUAGGAUGUUGGCAUAAUGGUUUUAACCGACCCGUCUUGAAACACGGACCAAGGAGUCUAACAUAUAUGCGAGUGUUUGGGUGGCAAACCCAUACGCGUAAUGAAAGUGAACGUAGGUGCCAUCCGCAAGGU
rnacentral:rRNA from 1 species